GUGGUUUAGGGAUUUGUGUUUAGAGUUUUGAGAAAACGAGGCAUGCUUUCAAAAAAUGUGUGUAAGCAAUCGAGAAAAACUGUAAUACUGGGUGACUGGGUUAACAUUACAGUUAAGUAAAUCAAUAGACGUGUCAAAAGCAGGCAUUAGGGAUACAGUCUAAUAUUUCCAGGUAUCCUGUCAACAAAAAUUGUAUGUUGGGCUCAUGUAAAUACAUGUCUUUGUGUAUUGUCUUUAAUCAUGUCAUUGAUGACCUUGUCCUUGACCUUGUCAUUUAGUUACGAUUUAGGAUUUUUCCUGCAUCUAUUUUUUUUUUUUUUUUUUUACUGCACACUUAAAACGUAUCACUGUUUUUGACUUCUUAUAGUUUAGUGCAGUGUUGAGUGAGGUAUAAAACUAUCUCCUCUUUCUCUCUGAGCCCCGUCUGUCUCUUUCACUCGGUCUCAGUACCAGUGGGGGGCACCCUACUCUCUGAAAUGAAAUGAACAAUCCUCUUGAGUGCACACCCAGGCACGUACACCAAACACAAAGUUCACAGCAUGAGUCCCACACUCAGGGCACUGAGUUUGUGUACAGAAGAAGUUACGUCUGCUCAGCACGUAAUCUCUAAAUCCCCUUUUACUGAAUCCCCUCAGGGAAUCCCCUCAGGGAUUGGACAUCUCUUUUCUGUGCGUCGUUUUUUUUUUUUUUUAACGAAUGUGAUGGUUCAGCAUACAUCACUCUAUAUAUAACUAGAAACUGAUCGGGAAUAAUGAGAAUUUGUCCCAUGAAUAUGAUUUCCAGAGGAGAUUUCAACCUGCUGCAACACUUCCCAGAGAUUUGACAGGUGUAUAAGGCAUUUUCCUGGUUUGCUGUUUCUUCACCAAAUGGGUUUUUCAAAGCUUAUACUGGUGCUUCAGAUCAGUGUCCUGCUAUUUGAAAUUUGAACCAGUCAAGUGCUUCCCAAAGGGGGGGGGGGGACACAUUGUAAAAUAGAGUGGUACUCUUACGGUGCGCUCUAUCAAUCUGCCACCUUAUUAGCACCGUCACCGUGAGAGCACAUCACCGCGGCGCACAACCCUAAGCUAACCAUUGCCAGAAAAUUCAGCAGUCCCCUUUGAAAUGUAGUAACAAUCCAAUCUGUCUAAUGUUUUAUGUUGAUUCAGGGUGGUCUAUCUUCUCAUCUUGUCACUAGCAGAGAUAGGCUAUUAAGGGCUAUAGGUGAC
ensembl:lncRNA